AUCAUUUCAACGUCAUAGGCGAAUGAAUGUAUUAUAAAGAUCUAUAUAUAACUAACCCAAUAUAGUUCAUCGGUGUCGUUUACAAUGGGAACAAAUGAAGCAAGGAGGUGGGCAAAGUGAAGCACGAGCAAGCGAGAUCCUAUUGGCAUGUAGCAAGUAUUUGCAUACAUUUACUGUGACGUGUGUGCGGUGUGCAUAAAUCAAUUCGACCUUGCACUCCUAAACAACUCAAUUUAAAGUCUAUAAAACGUAUUGCACUUCCUAUCAGAUGCUAGAUUUUGGAACAUAAAUGUAUUGAUCAUAUGUUACAUCAAUGAGAAAAUUAUCAGAAUGUCUGGCCAGAUUCACCCAAAUACUCAUACUAACUGUACUAUUUGUGACUAAAUUGAGUAUGUAGUGUUCUUAUUGGUCAUAGUAUGGAUAUAGUUAGUAUGCCAAAAGUUCCAGGAUGUCUUACUAAAUUCGCCAAAAUACAUCAACGCCUGACGUUGAAUAUGGCCGGUGUCAUUAAAUUGUUUCCAGCAGCACAGUCUCCAACUUUUUGGACAACAUAUAAACAGCCUAAUCAGCUCUGCUGGGCGAGCAAAAUGGUCAGAGUGAGGUGUCAUUUGUGUCUGGAAGUAGCUAGCAAGCUAGCCAACGACGUUAGCCAGUUAGCAAGGGUGCUUGACUGCCGUUGUGAGUCGGAUUAACCCUACUCCUCGGCCAGUGCGUCAUGGACGCUCUGAAUUUACGAACGCCAGAGGGCACUCCAGAUACGCUGGAAACAUGAAACACUUUUUUUCUGAUAACUAGUUCAUUGCAUCUGCCGUGGAGCCCAGUUUCAUAAUAUUAACAUAUUUCCCAGCUGCUUGCUGUUGUUUUGAAGUAAUCACGAAAAAACGGCUUAUUUUAGGGCAAUUUUCACCCUGCCAGCUCCUAUUAGUUUUAUUGAGCAUUGUGGCACCAACUCGCCUUCCGAACAUUCUAUUCCCAGUUUAUUGUUAUACGUCACACUGCCUGCUUCGCUAUUGUUGGCAAUGAGACCCGCUCACAUUGUUUAUAGAUUGACACCAUCUAGGUGCGGAUGUUUACUUCUACACAAGUUUUUUUUUUCCAGUUUCGUCCGGUGAACAGAUUGUAGUGGUAAAAUAAAGAGGGAUACAUUUUUUGGUGCCAUUUAGGCGAAAUGGAAGUCUAAGCAUCACUCUAGUCAAAACAGGCUCUGCGAACAUGUGAUUCCAUUCAUUUGCUAUGGCCUCGUGCUAGUGUUCCAGCUUAGCCAACGUCCUUUUGCUGUUUUUCAGCCUUGGGUGAAUUUUGACUCGUUCUAUUGUUCAGCCUCCUCCCGAUUGAAUUUACGAACACACCCGAAGUAAAACAUUUUUUUAUAGCAAGACAGGUUGCAUAGCAACAGCAUCAACUUCCGGCAGACAGGCGAAGCGCUAGUACACUCAACUGAAAGGAUAAUGUUCAUUUACACCAGUGGUCACCAAACUACGGCCCGCGGGCCGGAUACGGCCCGUCAGCACAUUUGGCCCGGCCCUCUGAACAAUACCAGAGACGCUAUCGAAUUUUUUUCCUAUUUGGCCUCCAGAAAAAAAAUCCUAGGCCCGGCCCUGUCAAAGAGAGAACGGAAUAAUGGCGAAAAGGUUAGGUAAGAGAAAAAUUGAUUCAGAAUGCAGGGUAUUUAACCUGCAGUGGACAAACAAUUUUUUUUUUGUUCAAUGCAAAGAAAAGGCUGUUUGUCUCAUCUGUCAAGAGACGGUGGCGGUAUUCAAAGAAUACAAUCUUCGCCGACACUAUGAAUCCCGUCACAAAGACAAGUCCGAUAGCUUGCAAGGCCAAAUACGAGCAGACAAACUCUCAAAGCUAAAAAGUGGACUACUAUCUCAGCAGAAUACAUUUGUACGCCAAGCUCAGCUGAACCAGGCAUCCGUUCGGGCCAGCUUUCGGGUUGCUAAACUGAUAGCAAGAAGCGGUAAGCCUUUCACUGACGGAGAGUUUGUUAAGAAAUGUAUGGAUGCUGUCGCGGAGGAGGUGUGUCCCGAGAAGAAAGAUGCAUUUAAUGCCGUAAGUCUGUCGGCGAGUACAAUCACCAGACGCGUUGAAGAAAUCGGGAGUAAUGUAUAUGCCCAGCUGCAGCAGAAGACGAAAGAAUUUGACUUUUUUCAUUAGCACUGGAUGAGAGCACGGACGUGCAAGACACAGCGCAACUGCUCAUUUUUAUUCGUGGAGUUAGCGCAAACUUUGAGAUAUGCGAGGAGCUGGCAGCCCUCCAAAGUCUCAAAGGGACUACAACGGGAGAGGAUAUUUUUGACAAAGUGUGCCAAACCAUGGAGAAGUUGGACCUGGACUGGUCAAAGCUAGCUAGCAUCACGACUGACGGGGCUCCUAGCAUGGUGGGCGAAACUCGCGGUCUAAUAGGACGCAUGAACCGGGAGUUGGAAAAAAGGGGUCUCACCGCCCCGCUACGAGUCCACUGCCUAAUUCACCAGCAAGCACUGUGCUGCAAAGUUUUGAAGUGGGAUUCUGUAAUGAAGGUUGUGGUGUCGUGCAUAAACUUCAUCAGAGCAAAGGGACUUAAACACAGGCAGUUCCAAGAAUUCCUGUCUGAACUGGAGUCUACGCACGGAGAUGUGCUGUACUACACAGAGGUCCGAUGGCUGAGCAGAGUUUUGAGGCGUUUUUACGAGCUGCUACCCGAAAUUAACGCAUUUCUUCAUUUACGACCCAGAAUGGAAAUGGCACCUCGCAUUUUUAACAGACGUGACAGAAAUACUUAACAGCCUUAACUUGCAGCUACAAGGCGAGGGGAAACUCAUUUGCGACAUGUAUUCACACAUAAAAGCAUUUGAGGUGAAAUUAGCGCUGCUUUUGGAACAAGUGAAAAAGCGCAACUUCGUCCAUCUUCCUGCUACCCAAAACAUGUCGACAGAGAACCCAGCGGUCCCGUUCCCAGCUGAAAAGUGCUUGAAAGCACUGGAAAUGCUGAAGGCGGAGUUCGGUGUGCGAUUCAGUGAACUACAUGUUCAUGCAAAAGAAAUCCGUCUUUUUCAGAACCCCUUUGUUGCCGACAUUGAUGAAGCCCAGCCUUCAUAUCAGUUUGAGUUGGCUGAGUUACAGAACUGUGAUGUUCUGAAAGACGCAUUCAAGCCCAACAGUCUCAUUGACUUCUAUGCCGCCCUCCCAAACGACACAUAUCCAAACAUCAAAAAACACGCAAUGAAAAUGUCCACAGUUUUUGGCAGCACGUAUAUCUGCGAGAAAAGCAUGAAACUGCUGAAAACCCCGAUGAGAUCAAGAUUGACAGAUGAACAUUUGCAUCAGUGCUUGAGACUGGCUGUAACUAGAAUGGAACCUGAUAUUCAACUUCUCACCAGCCAGAUGCAGGCCCACAGUUCACACUGAUGAACAUACAUAGGGAAGUUGAUGAGAGAGAGCUGCAAACAGCGGUGUCUACAAGCCUACUGGAACCUACAAAAGGAUUAUAAGGAAGGAACACAAGAACUUUAAGAGACUGCUCAUAUGUGUCAGAGAGAUUCUGCUCUGACAACUGAGCUGAACUUUUAUCUGUUAAGAUUGUGCAUGGCACGACAGAAAGUUAAUGUUCCAUGGCUUUUUUUUCUAUGAAGAACCCAGAGAGAGUUAUUUAGUUAUUAUUUAUUUCCUGUUUUUUCUGUGAAGAACUCAGAGAGGGUUAUUUAGUUAUUAUUUAUUUCAUUAAUAGUGUUAUUAUUUGUUUCCUGACUUUUUUUCUGUAAAGAACCUGGAAAGGGUUAUUUGGUUAUGUGUGGCUUUCUGGAAAACAAUACAUUUUUUAAGCUCCCCUACGAUCGUCACACUUUUUCUGUUACAAACUGACACCGGCCCCCCAUCAGAGAAGGGAAAAGUUAUGUGGCCCUCACAGGAAAAAGUUUGGGGACCCCUGAUUUACACUAUACUAAAAUGAAUUUAUAGUAUGGAGUGUAUAUACUCAUUAAGUAUGUAGUAUACAGUAUUACUAUGGGUAUUCGAACACAGCUCUAGUUCCAUCCUUUCCCACUACCCCCAAAUGGACUUCCUCUCACUACCAUAUUUGGUGGUGAGAAAAUGUUCCAAGGGAUGCUUCAGCUUUAUAGCCCAUGUGACUUGUCUGGGUUACCUUUUCUGUCUGUGUCAUAGCCUUAGCUGGUGGUAACUUGUGGAAUAGACACGGACUUGAAUGCAGCUUUAACCAAUCAGCAUCCAGAAUUAAACCACCCAUUGUAUAAUGGUUGACAUCUUGCUUGCUACUUGCUUUGUAAAGCAUUACAAGUUGUGCAAUAUGUCCUUGAGUGGCUUUACAUUGUUUGUGUUUGUCUGAACAUCAGACUGUUAACAUAGUUACCAGCUGGCAUGUCUUCACUGACAUUUUCUACCUCUUCCUGACCCAGUGUGUAAUACCUUCAUGUUUCAAGCAGACCACCGUAGUCCCUAUGCCCAAGAACACCAAGGUAACCUGUCUAAAUGACUGUCGCCCAUAGCACUCACAUCUGUAGCCAUGAAAUGCUUUGAAAUGAUGGUCAUGGCACAUAUCAACACCAUACACCCUGGACCCGCUCCAAUUCGCAUUCCGCCCCAACAAAUCAAAUCAAACUUUAUUUGUCACUUGCCGAAUACAGCAAGUGUAGACCUUAUAGGGAAAUGCUUACUUACAACAGUGCAGUUCAAGAAGAGUUAAGAAAUAUUUACCAAAUAAACUAAAGUAAAAAAUUAUAAAAAGUAACACUAACAUAACAAUAAUGAAGCUAUAUACAGGGGGUACCGGUUAAAGGUAAUUUGUACAUGUAGGUAGGGGUGAAGUGACUAUGCAUAGAUAAUCAACAGUGAGUAGCAGCAGUGUACAAAACACAUGGAGGGGGGGGGGGUCAAUGUAAUAGUCCGGUGGCCAUUUGAUUAAUUGUUCAGCAGGCUUGGGGGUAGAAGCUGUUGUGUCGUCAGCAAACUUAAUGAUGUUGUUGGAGUCUUGUUUGGCCGCGCAGUCGUGGGUGAACAGGGAGUACAGGAGGGGAUUAAGUACACACCCUUGAGGGGCCCCCGUGCUGAGGAUCAGCGUGGCAGACUAGUUGUUGCCUACCCUUACCAGGAUCCAGUUGCAGAGGGAGGUGUUUGGUCCCAGGGUCCUUAGCUUAGUGAUGAGCUUCGUGGGCACUAUGGUGUUGAACACUGAGCUAUAGUCAAUGAACAGCAUUCUCACAUAGGUGUUCCUUUUGUCCAGGUGGGAAAGAGCAGUGUGGAGGUCGAUUGAGAUUGCGUCAUCUGUGGAUCUGUUGGGGCGGUAUGCGAAUUGGAGUGGGUCUAGGGUAUCUGGGAGGAUGCUGUUGAUGUCAGCCAUGACCAGCCUUUCAAAGCACUUCAUGGCUUCCGACGUGAGUGCUACGGGGCGGUAAUCAUUUACGCAGGUUAACUUCGCUGCCUUGGGCACAAGGAUUAUGGUGGUCUGCUUGAAGCAUGUAGGUAUUACAGACUCAAUCAGGGAGAGGUUGAAAAUGUCAGUGAAGACACUUGCCAGUUGGUCUGCGUAUGCUUUGAGUACACGUCCUGGUAAUCCAUCUGGCUUUGUGAAUGUUGACCUGUUUAAAGGUCUUGCUCACAUCGGCUACAUGCUUACUUACAAGCCCUUAACCAACAGUGCAGUUCUAGAAGAAUAAAGUAUUUACCAAGUAAAAAGUAACACAAUAAGAAUAACAAGGCGAUAUACAGGAGGUGGCUCUGGUACCAGUCAGUGUGCAGGGGUACAGGCUAGUUGAGGUAAUCUGUACAUGUAGGUGGGGGUGAAGUGACUAUGCAUAGGUAACAAACAAGCAGCUUUAUGGGCAAUAUGGUGUUGAAUGCUGAGCUGUAGUCGAUUAACAGCAUUCUCACGUGUUCCUUUUGUCCAGGUGAGAAAGGGCGUUGUGGAGUGCAAUUGAGAUUGCGUCAUCUGUUGGGAUGGUAUGCGAAUUGGAAUGGGUCUAGGGUGUCCGGGAGGAUGCUGUUGAUGUGAGUCUUGACCAGCCUUUCAAUGCACGUCAUGGCUACCGACAUGAGUGCCACAGGGUGGUAAUCAUUUAGGCAGGUCACCUUCGCUUCCUUGGGCACAGGGACUAUGGUAGUCUAUUUGAAACAUGUAGGUAUUACAGACUCAGUCAGGGAGAGGUUGAAAAUGUCAGUGAAGACUCUUGCCAGUUGGUCCGCGGAAGCUUUAAGUACACGUCCUGGUAAUCCGUCUGGCCCAGCGGCUUUGUGACUGUUGACCUGUUUAAAGGUUUUGUUCACAUUAGCUACCGAGAGCGUUAUCACACAGUCAUCCGGUACAGCUGGUGCUCUCGUGCAUGCUUCAGUGUUGCUUACCUCGAAGUGAGCAUAAAAGGCAUUUAGCUCGUCUGGUAGGUUCGCAUCACUGGGCAGCUCGCGUCUGGGUUUCUCUUUGUAGUCCGUAAUAGUUUUCAAGCCCUGCCACAUCCGACGAGCGUCAGAGCCGGUGUAGUAGGAUUUAAUCUUAAUCCUGUAUUGACGCUUUGCUUGUUUGAUGGUUCGUCUGAGGGCGUAGCUGUCAAGACUUCCGCGGAAGUGGGUCCUUCUCCUAGUUCGGGCGGUGUUCGGCGGUUGACGUCACCGGCCUUCUAGCCAUCGCCGAUCCACCUUUCAUUUUCCAUUGGUUUUGGCUUGUCUUCCCUCACACCUGGUUUCAAUUACAUCAAUUACAUGUUGUGUAUUUAACCCUCUGUUUCCCCCAUGUCCUUGUCCAGAAUUGCUUAUUGUAAGUGCUUGUGCAUGUCUGAUGUGCGUCGGGUUAUGUACCCAUUUAUUGAUUGUUCUAUUUAUCUAUAGCGGAUUUUCAUAUAGGCGUCCAGAUUAGUGUCCCGCUCCUUGAAAGCGGCAGCUUUAGCUCGAUGGGGAUGUUGCCUAUAAUCCAUGGCUUCUGGUUGGGAUAUGUUUGUACGGUCAAUGUGAGGACGACGUCAUCGAUGCACUUAUUCAUGAAGCCGAUGACUGAGGUGGUAUACUCCUCAAUGCCAUGGGAUGAAUCCCGGAACAUAUUCCAGUCUGUGCUAGCAAAACCGCCCUGUAGCGUAGCAUCCGCGUCAUCUGACCACUUCCAUAUUGAGCGAGUCACUGGUACUUCCUGUUUUAGCUUGUAAGCUGGAAUCAGGAGGAUAUAAUUAUGGUCAGAUUUGCCAAAUAGGCAGGGGAGAGCUUUGUAUGCAUCUCUGUGUGUGGAGUAAAGGUUGUCUAGGAUUUUUUUUCUCUGGUUACACAUGUGACAUGCUGGUAAAUACGAGGUAUAACUGAUUUAAGUUUGCCUGCAUUAAAGUCCCCGGCUACUAGGAGCGCCGCUUCUGGGUGAGCAUUUUCUUGUUUGCUUAUGGCCUUAUAGAGUUGGUUGAGCGCGGUCUUAGUGCCAGCAUCGGUCUGUGAUGGUAAAUAGACAGCUACAAAUAAUAUAGAUAGUGUGGUCUACAGCUUAUCAUAAGGUACUCUACCUCAGACAAGCAAUAACUCUACCCUUUUUAAAUAUUAGACAUCGCGCACCAGCUGUUAUUGACAAAAAGACACACACCCCCACCCCUCGUCUUACCAGACAUAUCUUCUCUGUUCUGCCGGUGCAUUGAGAAUCCCACCAGCUCUAUGUUAUCCGUGUCGUCGUUCAGCCACUACUCGGUGAAACAUAAGAUAUUACAGUUCUUAAUGUCGUUGGUAGGAUAAUCGUAGGUCAUCAAUUUUAUUUUCCAAUCCAAUGAUUGCAUAUUAGCAAAUAUAAUUGAUGGCCGUGGGAGUUUACUCGCUCCCCUACUGAUUCUCAAAAGGAAGCCCGAUCUGCGUCCUCUUCACGCAAAUGAUGGGGAUCUGUGCCUGUUCCCGGGAGAGCAGUAUACCCUUCUCGUUGGACUCGUUAAAGGAGAAAGCUUCUUCCAGUUCGUAGUGAGUAAUCCCAGUUCUGAUGCCCAGAAAUGAUUUUCUGUCAUAAGAGACGGUAGCAGCAACAUUAUGUACAAAAUAAGUAAAAUAAUAAGUUACAAACAACGCAAAAAAUAUAUAAAAAAUAGCACAAUUGGUUAUGGGCAUGUAAAACAUCAGCCAUCCUCUUCAGCGCCAUCUUAAAACACCAGAUGUCAUGUUGGGUUGUGUAAUGUCAUGGAGGUUUUGACGUUCAACAGAUUUCAAUCUGUUAUGAUGUUUUACCUUAUAUUUCCUGUUUGUUCACAGGUAAUUCACUAAGGAUACAGUUACAAGGCGCACCAGCCCCUGCCAACAGUGGUCUAAACAGUCGCCUUGUGAUCUGUGAUCUACAAGGCUGCCAGUGCUGGACCAUCUGAUCCAAAUUUGGAAUCUUGGAUGGCCCCACCCCCAUUGAGAUCUAAGGAGAAUGAGAAAUGGAGCGACAUAAAGAAGAUGUCUAUGAAGUACAGGUUUGGUCACAGUGUUGUGUCUCCGCCCAGCAAGCCAAACUUCUAGCCCUUUGUGGAGGAGUCGGAUCAGCCUCCGACAAUGACACUGUAAGAUCAACCCAGCAGUGAAUUCGGUGUUGUCUGCACGAAAGCCCUGCGGGGAUGAGACUCCUCUGAAGAGACUGCAGCAACAUCAGCAGCAGGAAGAGGGGAAAGCUCAGAAGCAGAGCAUGUAUUGCAAGGACCUGUUGCUCAGUGUCGCCUCUUGAGUUCUGCUUUUAGGAACUGAGGGCAGAAAGCUACCACCAGAAGAAGGCCUUGGAGUCAGGGGCAGUGUCAAGGAAGAGCAAGGGGGCUCUGGUCUUCCAAACGGACACCUUUCCACCUGAACAUUGACAUGACAUUUCCAUGUUCAGAUUGUUUUGUAUUUAGGUAACAGACUGUAAGUAUCAUCUGUUAUGUCUUUGUUGUCUUUCGUCAUGUAUGUAUUUUACUGUUUGUGAUGUGUAUAUAUAAACUGCAGUUGGAAUGGCAUAGGUCACACCAGUCAUAGCCAUAUAUCACUAUCUAGGCUCUGGGCCACACAGUAUCCCAGAGGGAAAAAUCAUCUAAUGUAAUUGGAGAAAAUGGUGCUAUGAUUUGAGAACUGAAAUACUGGUGGUUGUUGUUACUGCAUAUCCUUGGAUAUUCUGCAAUAAUUGGCUGUUGAGACUGUUCUGUAAUAUAUUUUCUUUCAUGGCAAUUCACUACAAAACUGUAUUCUACAUUUUACAUUCAUUCCACUAAUCUAUUAUGUUUGGAAAAUGGCUUUAGAUAACAUGCCAUGUUCCGUCUGGUUCCUCUCUCCAUUAUUUCUUUGCCUUCUUCACGUUACCUCUUAGGAAUUAAACUUUCAGUACCCCAUGUGGUGAAGGUAGUGUAUGAGAAUGACAGAGAGAAAUCCAGAGGAGUCUGACAAGGCUCAAUUCACAUUAUAGAUGUCACUGCUGUAUAUAUUGGUAAAAAUGUCCCCCCAAGGCCAUGUGGUGAUAGUGUUAAAUAAAUGUGAAAUAAUG